CGGCGUGGAUGAGGCAUGCAAGUCGAACGAAUCGUGAGCAAUCACGAUUAGUGGCGGAAGGGUUAGUAAUACAUGGGUAACUCACCUCUCACUUGGGAAUAACGGCUGGAAACGGCCGCUAAUACCGAAUGCGGUGCAACAAGGCAUCUUGUUAACAUCAAAGUGGGGGAUCGUAA
rnacentral:rRNA from 1 species